rnacentral:lncRNA from 1 species
ACAGCCCUGGGCCCGGCGGACAGGGCCCAAUGCCUGUGGGGACAGGGGAUGGCUGCUCGGCCAGUGGUCCCGACCUGGCUGCUCCCCGGGCUCUGAUGCCGCGUGAGGACGGCCUGGUGGGACCCACUCGUCUGUCUUGUAUCUGGGGUGGUGGGUUUUCCUCGCCUUCUCACAGCUCAUCGUUCCAGGGAGUGUGUGGUGCUUGACAGGGAAAGAUUAUUCUGUCGUUUAAACCACUUUUUGUCAAGUAGCUCUUUUACAGAACGUGUCCCAAGCCCCUUAGCCCUGGUUUCCGCGCCCCUUGUCUCGCCAGGAUGGGCGGGGAGCCCCAUGGAGGGAGGGCCUUGCUUGCUGUUCUGGAGAGGUUUUAGCCUCCAGUGAGGCUCAAAAGGCAGGCCCUGCAUCACUGGGGGGACCACAGCUCUCAGUGGAGCCUGCAGCGUGGUGGGGUCCAGUGCGGUUGCUGUGAGCCUUGCCAGACCGGUGGCCAUCACGGGCCCUGCAGGAGGGCCACACACCCGCUGAGACCAGAGCAAACGGGCAGCCUCCUCCCGCCGAGCUGCCACCAUGCUGGCCACUACCCCCCGGACCCUACCCUGCGGUGAGGUCCGCUCUCAGACCCUCAGCUUUCCUCUGGGGCUCCUUUCGGGAUUCAGUUCAGGUGGGGCCUGCCGUGAAGCCUGUUUUACAGGCAGGUGGAUGGUCCCUGGGGCGCCCCCAUCUCUCCCAGGCUUCCAGAAGCACUGGGUGCCAUCUGCAUCUGCAUGAGCUUUUCUGCCUAUGCCUGGCGUCAGUCAGCACCUGGAGAAGCGUCAGGACCUUAGCAUAGCUGCCUGGCCCCAGUAACUGAAUAGGUUCUUAGGAUGUGAUGAAAAUUAGUGCUGAGUGAGUGUAGCACGAGCUUAGGAACAGCCGAACACCUGAGGAGCUCCAGCCACGCUGAGGAGGGGCUCUGGUGCCACACGGGUGAGCAGACACCACGUCCAAUGGUUUGCCGGUGAAAAAGAAAAUGUAAAAAAGUGCAGAAAAAGUAAGAGUCAUAUCCAGCAGAAUCUGGCACAACAGGCGGGCCUGGAAGCCCAAAGCCUCUGUCUCCGAGGUCUGGAGAUGACUGUCCCCUGACCAGAGGCUCUGGGACAGCCAGAGAGCACCUGCGAAAGGAGCUCUGCCCCCACCACCAGGCACCCAGCUCCCAGAGGCCCUGGCCACCACAGGCUGAAGCUCUCCGCCGUCUGGAGACUGGGGCAGCCAGGUAGCACUGACGGGGAGGCCCCCACACGCCUCUUCCCUCCUGCACACCUGACCCGCCCCUUCCCCAGUGAGAGACAAGGAUCAGCGCCACGGCACCAGCUGAGCAAGCCGCCCAGUGGCACUGCAAAGGCUCUCUUGCACCCACGUGGCCUUUUACCUGUUAAAAGCUUUAAAUGAAACUCAGUGUCCUGACAUAAUGGACAAAAUGUCAGGGCACAAAUGAAACCACUGACAGUACCAAGAGCCAGGAAGACUGCAACUUCAGUGAGGAAAAACAACGGACAUCAAUCAUGAGACGAAUUAGAUGUUGGAAUUAAAGCAUCCGUGCUAAAAAGGCUUAAAAACCUGAUUAUAAGUUGUCUUGACACAAAUGAAAUAAAAAUUGCAGCAAAGAUGAGGGGAUUACAGAACUAAAAAAUUCAGCAGUGGAAGAUGCUAAAACUUUGUGGAUGCCGUCAAUAGUAGACUGGAAAUGCCAAAGGAGAGAGUCGGGAAACCUGGAAAGAUGCAUCGAAUUUACUCAACCUGAACAGCAGAGAAGAAAAUGUAAAAGCCUGGGUUAGACAAAGUCUCGGGCGCUUACGGGGCAAUAACAACACCCAGCAUCCCUGUCAUCUCGCUCCCAAAAGGAGGAGAAAGAGAGUGGGGCUGAAAGAGUUUUUGGAGAAUAAGAUGGAAAGCUAUCUGGAUUUGGUGCAAGACAAAACCUUGAAAGAUUCCCAAGAAGGAGAAUGAAUUCCAAAUAGGACACAUACAAAGAAAUCCAUGCCAAGACACAUCAUAAAUCAAACUUUUGAGAAAAAAAAAAAUUGAAGGCCGUGAGAAACAGUGCAUCCAUCACCUAUGGGGACCCCAGUUUAAAUGACCAAGAGUUUCUCCUCAAAGCCACAGAGGCCGAAGGGAAGUGAUGUGGUUCUCCUCCAACACCGGGGAAAAUUGUCCGCCACAUAUUCUAUAUCCAGCCAAACUGUCCUUCAGGAUUAAAAGUGAAAUCAGCAUCUCAGAGGAAGUAAAACUAAAGGAAUUUCUUACGAGCAGACCUUGUAAAGACUAAGUUUUUCAAACAGAAAGGAAAUGAUAAAAAGGAAUUUUCUUAAAUCAUACAUGAUGAUAAAGUAAUAAGUUGUACCAUCUGAUACUCAAGACAAUGAUAUGGAAAGUAGAGGAGGUAAAGGGAACUCAAUGCAGAUAAGGCUUCCUAACUUCAUUUGAAGUGGCAAAAUAUUGACGUCAGUGACUUAAUGCUUCACAUGUCUACGGCAAUACUUGCAGCAUCGGCUAAGGAGAGAAACACGCUAAGAAAGGAAGAAAGAAAACAGUACGAAUAGGAGUGCUCUCUGCCCGGAUGGCAGAGACUUCUGAAAACUUUAGCCCCCGUAAAUGCACCCAGGUAACUGUCAAAGGGAGUUCCCUUGUGCUGCAGUGGGUUAAGGACCAGCGUUGUCACUGCAGCAGCUUGACAUUUUCACCACUGUGGCCUGUGUUCAAUCCCUGGUCUGAGAACUGAGAUCCCACAUCAA